rnacentral:RNase_P_RNA from 1 species
CCUGUGCAUCGCUCCAUCGCCGUCCGCCGUCAGGCGGAUGGAGGAAAGUCCGGGCAGCAUAGGGCACUGUGCUUCCUAACGGGAAGGGGCGCCACCGGGAACGGUGGCGCUACGGAAAGUGCCGCAGAAAGGGAGACCGCCGAACCACCGCAAGGUGGUGGCAAGGGUGAAAAGGUGGGGUAAGAGCCCACCAGCAUCGGUGGCAACAUCGGUGGCUUGGUAAACCCCACGGGCUGAAAGACCAUGUAUACCGGGGUUCCUGCGCAAGUAGGAUAAGGGCGGCUCGCCCGAUCCCGGAGGGUAGGUCGAUAGAUCCGAUCGGUGACGGUAGGACCAGAUAGAUGAUGGGGACCAGCCGCAAGGCUGGAACAGGACCCGGCUUACAGAUGCACAGGAACU